AUCCUCCAAGGCUAAAUACUCCUGAUUGACCGAUAGUGAACCAGUACCGUGAGGGAAAGGCGAAAAGAACCCCGGCGAGGGGAGUGAAAUAGAACCUGAAACCGUGUACGUACAAGCAGUGGGAGCCUUGAUUUAUCAGGGUGACUGCGUACCUUUUGUAUAAUGGGUCAGCGACUUAUAUUCUGUAGCAAGGUUAACCGUAUAGGGGAGCCGUAGGGAAACCGAGUCUUAACUGGGCGAAUAAGUUGCAGGGUAUAGACCCGAAACCCGGUGAUCUAGCCAUGGGCAGGUUGAAGGUUGGGUAACACUAACUGGAGGACCGAACCGACUAAUGUUGAAAAAUUAGCGGAUGACUUGUGGCUGGGGGUGAAAGGCCAAUCAAACCGGGAGAUAGCUGGUUCUCCCCGAAAGCUAUUUAGGUAGCGCCUCGUGAACUCAUCUUCGGGGGUAGAGCACUGUUUCGACUAGGGGGUCAUCCCGACUUACCAACUCGAUGCAAACUACGAAUACCGAAGAAUGUUAUCACGGGAGACACACGGCGGGUGCUAACGUUCGUCGUGAAGAGGGAAACAACCCAGACCGCCAGCUAAGGUCCCAAAGUCAUAGUUAAGUGGGAAACGAAGUGGGAAGGCUCAGACAGCCAGGAUGUUGGCUUAGAAGCAGCCAUCAUUUAAAGAAAGCGUAAUAGCUCACUGGUCGAGUCGGCCUGCGCGGAAGAUGUAACGGGGCUAAACUAUGCACCGAAGCUGCGGCAGCGA
rnacentral:rRNA from 1 species